AUGCCUUGAUAUGUCUGAUUUCAUCUAUGUUGAUGGCCACUAGGACUUCCCCUACCUUUCGGUGGAAGAUUCUUCAGCCAUCAUAAAAGUAUCAAAAAACAAGAAGAACAUAGGAAGACAACUCACAUGAUGCCCCCCCCCCAAA
rnacentral:lncRNA from 1 species